UCCUACGGGAGGCAGCAGUAGGGAAUCUUCCACAAUGGACGCAAGUCUGAUGGAGCAACGCCGCGUGAGUGAUGAAGGGUUUCGGCUCGUAAAACUCUGUUGUUGAAGAAGAACGGGUGUCAGAGUAACUGUUGACAUCUUGACGGUAUUCAACCAGAAAGCCACGGCUAACUACGUGCCAGCAGCCGCGGUAAU
rnacentral:rRNA from 1 species